AGCAUAAUAGGUUGCUACUGCUGCACCUAUUAUUUGAUUUCUCUCAAUGUUUCAAUCAGUUUAUCUAAAGCAUGAUUUUAAUAUGCAAUUUUAUCAGUCCGAGAUUACCUGAAUGAUUCGUGGAAAUUAGAAUGUGGGGAUCUCAAAGAAUGUUUCACAAGAAAAACAAAUAUUGGCCAUUUCCAAACUUGCUCGGUGGUCGAGGUACUAUAGAGGACAUCAGUAGAAUGAAAGCAAGAGCAACCUGACAACAUUAUUGAUAGUCAACUUCCAUUAUCAGCAGCUUCACACGUGUAUAUCUUUCUUUUGGAAAUGGAAGUUGUUGUUUCUUCCCAGAACUAGGAAGGUGCGGAUAAUAAGAGUUGUUGACAGAGGCAACCUGCAUAUGUGUAAACAGUGGCUAUGGUGGCUCAAAGGGAAGCAGCGGCUGCUCCAUGGAAACACGCAACUUAGUGAUGUACUUUUUGUUUCUAGAUUUUGUUCACUCUCAUUAAAUUUUAAGCAAGAAAAUCCGCUACCCUGCAAAAAGUUCUUCCAACAAAUAUUUUUGUGUGUGCAGCUAAGAUCAAUCUUCCUAUUCAUUCAUUGCACG